rnacentral:tRNA from 1 species
GCCGAGGUGGCGGAAUUGGCAGACGCGCUAGGCUCAGGACUUAGUGGUGAAAACCAUAGGGGUUCAACUCCCCUCCUCGGCA